AUAGCUGUACACAAAUAAUAAUAAACGUCAUUCCGCAGCCUUGGCGACGCUGACGAUCAAGUAAUUUUCGUGGAGCUGGAUUUGCAAUCUAAUUCGCGAACUUUUUACUUCUAAGCCUUGGCGACGCUGACGAUCAAGUAAUUUUCGUGGAGCUGGAUUUGCAAUCUAAUUCGCGAACUUUUUACUUCUGAGAUCAAGUAUUUUCGUGGAGCGGGAUUUGCUAUCCAUAUAUGCGAACUCUUUACUUUUGAGUGAGGUA